AACGUAGGAGACAAACGUUAUCCGGAGUUACUGGGCGUAAAGGGCGUGUAGGCGGUUUGUUAAGGUUGGCGUGAAAGCUCUCGGCUAAACCGGGAGAGGUCGUUGGAUACUGGCAAACUAGAGGACGGUAGAGGCGUGUGGAAUUCCGGGUGUAGUGGUGAAAUGCGUAGAGAUCCGGAGGAACACCAGUGGCGAAGGCGACACGCUGGGCCGUACCUGACGCUAAAGCGCGACAGCAUGGGGAGCAAACGGG
rnacentral:rRNA from 1 species